AGGAUCAACGCUGGCGGCGUGCCUAAUGCAUGCAAGUCGAACGUGCGGCUUUCGGGCCGAGGCGUGGCGGACGGGUGAGGAACGCGUGGGCAAUCUGCCCAGAGGUGGGGGGUAGCCUUCGGAAACGGAGGGCAAUUCCGCAUGUGCUCGAUCGCUGGUGGGGUGAUUGAGGAAAGGGUUUUCGGACUCGCCUUUGGAGGAGCCUGCGGCCGAUUAGCUAGUUGGUGGGGUGACGGCUCACCAAGGCGAUGAUCGGUAGCUGGUCUGAGAGGACGGCCAGCCACAUGGGGGACUGAGACACGGCCCCAACUCCUACGGGAGGCAGCAGCAAGGAAUUUUCCGCAAUGGGCGAAAGCCUGACGGAGCAACGCCGCGUGUGGGUGACGCUUUUCGGAGUGUAAACCACUUUUCUUGGGGACGACGAGCGACGGUACCCGAGGAAGAAGGACCGGCUAACUACGCGCCAGCAGCCGC
rnacentral:rRNA from 1 species